UACGUAGGGAGCAAGCGUUGUCCGGAAUCAUUGGGCGUAAAGCGCGCGUAGGUGGCCAUUUAAGUCCGCUGUGAAAGUCAAAGGCUCAACCUUUGAAAGCCGGUGGAUACUGGAUGGCUAGAGUACGGAAGAGGCGAGUGGAAUUCCUGGUGUAGCGGUGGAAUGCGCAGAUAUCAGGAGGAACACCAAUAGCGAAGGCAGCUCGCUGGGACGUUACUGACACUGUGGCGCGAAAGCGUGGGGAGCGAACAGG
rnacentral:rRNA from 1 species